rnacentral:rRNA from 1 species
AGUGAACGUUGGCGGCGUGGAUUAGGCAUGCAAGUCGAGCGAGAACCGUAGCAAUACGGGGACAGCGGCGAAAGGGACAGUAAUGUGUAGGUACCUACCUCCGGGUUCGGGAUAGCUGCGGGAAACUGCAGGUAAUACCGAAUAACGUCCCCGGACCAAAGGUUUGAUUCCACCUGGAGAGGGGCCUGCAUCCUAUUAGCUUGUUGGCGGGGUAACGGCCCACCAAGGCGACGAUGGAUAGCGGGUGUGAGAGCACGACCCGCGUCAUUGGGACUGAGACACUGCCCAGACCCCUACGGGUGGCUGCAGUCGUGAAUCUUCGGCAAUGGGCGCAAGCCUGACCGAGCGACGCCGCGUGCGGGAUGAAGGCCUUCGGGUUGUAAACCGCUGUCGUAGAGGAGGAAAUGCAGGGGGGUUCUCCCCUCUGUUUGACCUAUUCUAGGAGGAAGUACGGGCUAAGUUCGUGCCAGCCGCCGCCGUAA